rnacentral:rRNA from 1 species
AUGAACGCUGGCGGCGUGCUUAACACAUGCAAGUCGAACGAGAAGUGAAGACGGAACCCUUCGGGCGGAAGGCUUUAUUUCGAGUGGCGGACGGGUGAGUAACGCGUGGGUAACCUGCCUCAUACAGGGGGAUAACAGUUGGAAACGACUGUUAAUACCGCAUAAGACCACAGCACCGCAUGGUGCGGGGGUAAAAACUCCGGUGGUAUGAGAUGGACCCGCGUUCGAUUAGCCAGUUGGCGGGGUAACGGCCCACCAAAGCGACGAUCGAUAGCCGAUCUGAGAGGAUGACCGGCCACAUUGGGACUGAGACACGGCCCAAACUCCUACGGGAGGCAGCAGUGGGGAAUAUUGCACAAUGGGGGAUACCCUGAUGCAGCGACGCCGCGUGAGUGAAGAAGUAUUUCGGUAUGUAAAGCUCUAUCAGCAGGGAAGAAAAUGACGGUACCUGAGGAAGAAGCCCCGGCUAACUACGUG